rnacentral:ncRNA from 1 species
GAGAGCCGUAUGCAUCUAAAGAUGCCCGUGCGGUUCGGGAAGGGGCGAAUUCCAGUGGGAUUCGCCUAUUUCAU